ensembl:lncRNA
GUUGUGCAAUUUCAUAAACUACACGUGAAGGUUGAACUGGGUGGAAGAUGACAGAUAAUCAGCACAGGAGCUGAUGUGGAAAUAAAACACUCACACACAGAAACGCACACACACACACACACUCCGCACUGACGUGGGUCAGUAAUGAUGAAGUAAACUUUAUGAAAUAGCCGAUGGAAGGGGAGAAAGUGGAGAAUGUCAUCCUUUGGUGGGGACAUGUUUUAUUCAUGCUGUCAGCGGAGACGUUGGUGAAGUCACGGCCGUAGCUCAUGCAGGUGUUGUGCCUGGCGGCAAAGCCAAAUACCCAAACAACUACCAUCACACCUGGCUGGAACCGCAGACAACCGCAUGACAGAGGCCCCCCAAAACAGACUGAGACCCUGAAAUGAUGCUGGUUUUCCGGUUGAUUCACCGGCAGCAUCUUGAGUCACAGCCAUUGGGUCCGACUCCAAUCGCGCAGCUGCUGCCAGCUUAAUUGACUCCAGCGAGGAAUCGUCUAUUUUAUCUGUUCUCUUAAUUCUCCUGCUGACGGGACCGACUCACAUGCUGACGUUCAGGUGGACCCGCUAUCAUUGGAAUCUGUUCAAGCUCAAUGGGUGGCCUGAUUAACGGAACAUGGUUUAGACCAGCUGGCUCACGGCUUCUUCAUUUCUGCUGUUUUUGUUGUUGUCAUUUUUUUUGUCUUUUAUUUCUUCAAUUUACAAUCCUUAUUUUUUAUUUGUAUGCUAAAAGAUAACCAAACCCUGGAGGGCCUCAACCCUCGAGCCAAGUGACGUCUACCGUCGGCUAAUUUUGUGAAACCAGUGGAACAUUAUCAGGACAUUCCUCUCCGUUCCCUGGAAGUACACAUGACAACGUCUGCUGAAUCGGCGUAAAGGAUUGAUGGUCUGGCACUAGCACUGUGCUUCCCCAUACUGUGACACGAAUGAAUGGAUGAAUAUCAUUUAGGGGCCUGCUAGCUGGCUCAUUCCGCCAUGUUGUCAUGCUACUAUACGGAAUAUAAAAAUCACCAAUGUGAAAUGCUUGGCUUGUUCUACUUUACUUCAAGAUGUAGACAUUAUACGUUUUUAAUUGACAUACUAAUCGCCAGCACUAAUGCUAAUCAUGUUAAUCUGUUGCCCGUAUAUUUUGAAUCCAUAAUUUUGAAACCCAAAGCCAAUUUCUUCCUACUGAAGACAUCUGUCAAACAGCUCAGGUCUAUAUAUUUUCAUUUUUAUAAAAUUGAAAUGUAAAAGUCUAUUUUUAGGGACUACUUUUAAGCAGCAAAUUGAUUUACAUUUGAUUUCCGGCGAGUAAUUUAGAAAGACUGUGUGUAUAUAUAUAUAUAACUAUGCCAAUGAGAGAGCAUGUCACACAUAAAGAGCAACAAUGUGGCCUGUCGAUGCAUUUUUUGAGAUCUGUGGAAAAAUCAAUUAAUUUUGUGUGCUAUUAUUUACAUUAGAAAAGGUGAUUAUAAAAGAAAUUGAAUAGUG